rnacentral:snRNA from 1 species
CGAUGGGAGGGCAUUCUGGCUACCACAUCUAUUACCCAUGUAUUUUCCAGAGAUGGUUCUGCUACUCUGACUUGCUAAGUGGGGUCCCUUUUUUUACCUUCAACUCUCCAUCUGCAUCCCUCCCACAACUCAGUUGAAAAGGAUGACCUUCCCAUAUAGAGAAGAAAUCAUUUUCAAGCAAGGGAAUCAAAGUUCUUGAAUUCCCCAAGUGUCAUUAUGAAACUAGCUCUGUUUGUGGAGGGUAAACAGUUUCCUUUAAUUUGCUAAGUCCUUCUACCUCUUUUACAAUAGAAGGAGAUAGUG